GUUAUGUACCUUGCUGUUGUUGUUACUUUGAAAGAAAAUUUUUGCAGAACAACUUGGACUUGACAAUCCAUGCUCGUAAUAAUGUCGAUGGCACACUGAUAAGAAGUAUAAUGAUUUCAAUAACAGACUGUCUUGACAACUUUCCAAAAUUGAAUAAUCAACAGCAAGUGACAAAUGGAGUUCACUCUAUAGUUACAGGUAAUUACUUAUCUACCACAUACCUUGAAAGAAUACACAAAAUAGAGUUAAAAGAAACAGAUGUUUUAUUAACUGGGUUUGCAAGAUCAGGAACAACAUUGACAAGAACAUUGUUAUUGGCGAUUAAAUAUGGAGGUAAUAAAGUGCUUAACAAUCCCACCUUCAACAUUGAUAUUUUGUUUCCAUUUAUUGAGUUUGAAUCUGCAGGUCAGUCAGUAAAUAAUGACAAUACCUAUGUCGGCUAUAAUAUUACUAUGAAUUCGCAAGAUGCUCCACAUCGCUUGUUAAAAACACAUUUGCCAAUUUGGCUUGCACCUAAUUCAGCAAGUGCAAAGAAAAUUAUUGUGGUGCGAGAUGUGAAAGAUACCUUGAUUUCUAAUUAUUUUUUGUACAAGAACGAUAGCACUAAUCCAAAAGAGAUAUACAACACACUCGAAUUUGAAACGUUUUACAAAAUGUUUAUAUCAGGUUCCACCCUUUGUGGAGAUUGGUAUCAAUGGUAUAGAGGUUGGUUAGAUGCUUCUGAUCAAAAUACUCUUUUGUUACAUUACGAGGAUUUAAUUAGAAAUUUCGAGGAGACAGUUACAAAGCUUGCAGAAUUUGUUGGUGUAAAAAUGACAUCCGAAUUGAUGUCUACAUUAAAAGAAGCCGCUGAUUUUAAACGCAUGAAAAAAUAUUUGACUGUUCCAUCAAUAAAAGAUUUUGUUCGUAAAGGAGUCAUUGGUGAUCAUGAGAAUUACUUGGAUGAAGAAAAAAUCAAGUUUUUAAAUCGUAGAUGCCAAGAAAUUGUUCCAGAACUAUUAAAAUAAUCUGUUAAAAAUGAUAGAUGCCAAAAAAUUGUUUCUGAGCUUUUAAAAUGAAGUAAAAGAUGAACUAUAACCAGAGAAAAGAUAAUUAUUUACAAAUUUUACUUGAUCUCAUGUUUAAGAAAAAUGAUUGUGCUAGGUUUUCAUGUUUAUCUUUCAUUGUUUUAUUAUUUAUGCUCAUGUCCGAUAUUCGUGUGAGACAAUUAGAUGUAAACUUGUUUCAUAAGCAACUAAGUUUCUGAUUUUGAAAGUUAAGCAAAGAAUGCUUCAAACUGAGUUAUCUAACAAAUAAUCUCCAAACGGUUUUCGAAAGUAUUAAAAAUGUUUUAAAGAAACUGACACAAAGAAAGAAAGAGUGCAAAAAAUAGCUAUUGGAUGUUACAACUAGCAUGUUGGAAAGAAUGAAUUUUUUUUUUGUAAUUACUUUAAAUUAAUAAAAAUUUGUAAUUACUUUAAAUAGGAAAACCUAUAUUUUUACCUAUGAUUUCCUUAAGGUGUGAGAUUAGAAAAAAAGAGCUGUAUUUUCAAAAAAAAUUUAGUGAUUGGAUAGAAAGAAACCUGAGCUGUCUAAGGGUGCAAAAAUAUUGUUUAAAAAAGUAAUAAGCUAAAUUAUUUCCAAAAAUAAAAAAAAAAUAAAAAAAAUUUUUUUUGCUAUGUAAUAAAGAUCAAAUAUUUGUACACAAUCAUCUUGGGUA